CAGGGAAUAUUGCACAAUGGGCGAAAGCCUGAUGCAGCAACGCCGCGUGAGGGAUGAAGGCCUUCGGGUCGUAAACCUCUUUUCCAGAGGAAGAGAAGGGACGGUACUCUGGGAAUAAGACACGGCUAACUACGUGCCAGCAGCCGCGGUAAUACGUAGGUGUCGAGCGUUAUUCGGAUUUACUGGGCGUAAAGCGCACCGAGGUGGCUUCUUAAGUUGGAUGUGAAAUCUCCUGGCUUAACUGGGAGACGCCAUUCAAAACUGGGAAGCUUGAGGUCAGCAGGGGAAAGUGGAAUUCCCGGUGUAGUGGUGGAAUGCGUAGAGAUCGGGAGGAACACCAGUGGCGAAAGCGACUUUCUGGGCUGCACCUGACACUCUAGUGCGAAAGCGUGGGGAGCAAACAGGAUAGAUACCCUGGUAGUCCACGCCCUAAACUAUGGAUACUAGGUGUAGGGGGUAUUGACCCCCUCUGUGCCGAAGCCAACGCGUUAAGUAU
rnacentral:rRNA from 1 species